UACGGGGGGGGCAAGCGUUGUUCGGAAUUACUGGGCGUAAAGGGCGCGUAGGCGGUUGGAUAAGUCAGGUGUGAAAACCACGGGCUUAACUCGUGGCCUGCAGUUGAGACUGUCUGGCUUGAGUGUGGGAGAGGAGAGUGGAAUUCCUGGUGUAGCGGUGAAAUGCGUAGAUAUCAGGAGGAACACCUAUGGCGAAGGCAGCACUCUGGGACGGUACUGACGCUGAGACGCGAAAGCGUGGGGAGCGAACAGG
rnacentral:rRNA from 1 species